rnacentral:rRNA from 1 species
UGGGGAAUAUUGGACAAUGGGCGCAAGCCUGAUCCAGCCAUGCCGCGUGAGUGAUGAAGGCCUUAGGGUUGUAAAGCUCUUUUGUCCGGGAGGAUAAUGACCGUACCGGAAGAAUAAGCUCCGGCUAACUUCGUGCCAGCAGCCGCGGUAAUACGAAGGGAGCUAGCGUUGUUCGGAAUUACUGGGCGUAAAGCGCAUGCAGGCGGAUCGUUAAGUCGAGGGUGAAAUCCCAGGGCUCAACCCUGGAACUGCCUUCGAUACUGGCGACCUUGAGUCCGGGAGAGGUGAGUGGAACUCCGAGUGUAGAGGUGAAAUUCGUAGAUAUUCGGAAGAACACCAGUGGCGAAGGCGGCUCACUGGCCCGGUACUGACGCUGAGAUGCGAAAGCGUGGGGAGCAAACA